rnacentral:sRNA from 1 species
AAAAAUCCCAUGGGAUUUUUUUUGUCCCAUGGGACAAACAAAUAUCCCAUGGGACUACAAUAAUCCCAUGGACAAAAAAA